rnacentral:tRNA from 1 species
GUCUCGCUAGCUCAGCCGGUAGAGCACUUGACUUUUAAUCAAGGGGUCUGGGGUUCGAAUCCCCAGCGAGACACCA